rnacentral:rRNA from 1 species
GAUGAACGCUGACAGCAUGCUUAACACAUGCAAGUCCACUUGAACUUCGGUUUGGGUGGCGGACGGGUGAGUAACGCGUAAAGAACUUGCCUCACAGAUAGGGACAACAUUUGGAAACGAAUGCUAAUACCUGAUAUUAUGAUUUUAGGGCAUCCUAGGAUUAUGAAAGCUAUAUGCGCUGUGAGAGAGCUUUGCGUCCCAUUAGCUAGUUGGAGAGGUAACGGCUCACCAAGGCGAUGAUGGGUAGCCGGCCUGAGAGGGUGAUCGGCCACAAGGGGACUGAGACACGGCCCUUACUCCUACGGGAGGCAGCAGUGGGGAAUAUUGGACAAUGGACCAAGAGUCUGAUCCAGCAAUUCUGUGUGCACGAUGAAGUUUUUCGGAAUGUAAAGUGCUUUCAGUUGGGAAGAAAAAAAUGACGGUACCAACAGAAGAAGUGACGGCUAAAUACGUG